rnacentral:rRNA from 1 species
AUGGGAUGUGGGAUUGAGACAGUGCUCAUAGCAACCCGCAACAAGGCAAAGGAUUCCCAUCCAGACUUGCAGGGAGCGGAGGUGGUCACAAAUGUGGACGUUGGCUCCAUAGGAGUCUCAACAAUGCGCUCAUCAGUAAGAGCAGCGCGAGCAAGAAGAUGCUGGAUAUACUUCUCUUGGGAAAUAAAAAAAGCCAUUAAAGGUAGAAGAAACCUCAAUCUCAAGAAAGUAGCGAAGAGGACCAAGAUCAGACAUAAGAAACUCACUAUGACGAGCCUUCACAAAGGCAAUGUACUUAGAAUCAUCGUCGGUGAUGAUCGGCAUAUAGUAGAAGAGUUCGCCCACGAGUUGAAAGGUAGACAAAAAGUGCACAUCAUGAGCACUCGUUGA